rnacentral:rRNA from 1 species
GACGAACGCUGGCGGCGUGCUUAACACAUGCAAGUCGAACGGAAAGGCCCUGCUUUUGUGGGGUGCUCGAGUGGCGAACGGGUGAGUAACACGUGAGUAACCUGCCCUUGACUUUGGGAUAACUUCAGGAAACUGGGGCUAAUACCGGAUAGGAGCUCCUGCUGCAUGGUGGGGGUUGGAAAGUUUCGGCGGUUGGGGAUGGACUCGCGGCUUAUCAGCUUGUUGGUGGGGUAGUGGCUUACCAAGGCUUUGACGGGUAGCCGGCCUGAGAGGGUGACCGGCCACAUUGGGACUGAGAGACGGCCCAGACUCCUACGGGAGGCAGCAGUGGGGAGUAUUGCACAAUGGGCGGAAGCCUGAUGCAGAAACGCCGCGUGCGGGAUGACGGCCUGCGGGUUGUAAACCGCUUUCGCCUGUGACGAAGCGUGAGUGACGGUAAUGGGUAAAGAAGCACCGGCUAACUACGUG